UGGGGAAUUUUGCGCAAUGGGCGAAAGCCUGACGCAGCAACGCCGCGUGAGUGAUGAAGGCUUUCGGGUCGUAAAGCUCUGUCAAGGGGAAAGAAGUGUAUUGUGGUUAAUACCCAUGAUGCUUGACGGUACCCCUAAAGGAAGCACCGGCUAACUCCGUGCCAGCAGCCGCGGUAAUACGGGGGGUGCAAGCGUUGUUCGGAGUUAUUGGGCGUACAGCGCGUGUAGGCGGUUUGUUAAGUCUGAUGUGAAUGCCCCGGGCUCAACCUGGGAAGUGCAUUGGAAACUGGCAGA
rnacentral:rRNA from 1 species